rnacentral:snoRNA from 1 species
UCCCGGACUGAUAACUGGAUGGUUUGAUCGGGCAGUAAAAUGCACUAAUCCAGUCCCUUACUGUCUUUUAAUUGUCCGGGAGAAUAAUUUUGAGAGAAUGCUUCUUACACGAGUUAUUACCUAUCAAUGUUUUAAACUCGUUUACUUUUUCCCAACAUGU